AUUAGCAUUGAAGGGCAUUCAAAUGAAGCUAUGGUCGAAAGGUUUUCUUUGGCUGCGUGUUGAGCCGUCCCAGCCCUCUCUCCUUUCAAGCACAAGCUUUUAUGCUCUCUUCUGGGCAGCUCGUAGCUGGCUGCCUGGUUGUAUAACAGUUCAAAAGAGCUGUCUAGAGAGAACAAGUUUGCAUAGCUGUGGCCAACACACUCCCCCCCUUGCCGACCACGGCCUGAACCAACGGAAAGUCUGGUGGAAUUUGGACGCGUCAACAUCCUCCGCCUUGGGUAUUUUCUUGUUCUUGCUUCUACUGCCCGUGCCCGUGGGCUCGUCUCGCACUCUGCCGAGGGCCGGCCGUCCGCGCAACCCCCCUCUGCACCAACAAGUGAUUUGUUGUUGUGUGUGUUAGUGUAAGAAGGUACGUGCCAAGAAUCUUGCUCCAGCGCAACAACUGAGAGGCUCUCUUUGAUUGAGUUCACUCUCUCCCGCUCUCCACCCAGGCAAAAUGGCUUACGCUUAAGUUACCUGAACGCAGUGCUCAUGUUCAGCAAAAUGCUGCAACGCUAUUUUAGCAAUUCAAAGGAUCCUUUGAUAGCCCAUAAAAUAAGUAGCGACAGAUUGGAGUCCUUGGGCACAGCCCUUGGGCCAAACAUUUUUGAGCCCACAAGAGGAGCUUGGCCCGUGUAUGGAUGGUGGGGGAUAAUAAUUUUACUGACCACUCCCACACCAUGAAUGAUUUAAAAGACGAAAUGGACAGCAGUGGACAAGGAGUGCACAGAGGAAAGGUGAUACGAAAGACCGGAUACGAAAGUGGAGGAAUCAUACUAGUCUUUGGUCGGCAAAGGUUUGUAAACAAUGGAUAAACUUUUA